rnacentral:rRNA from 1 species
GAUGAACGCUGGCGGCGUGCCUAAUACAUGCAAGUCGAGCGAACAGACGAGGAGCUUGCUCCUCUGACGUUAGCGGCGGACGGGUGAGUAACACGUGGAUAACCUACCUAUAAGACUGGGAUAACUUCGGGAAACCGGAGCUAAUACCGGAUAAUAUAUUGAACCGCAUGGUUCAAUAGUGAAAGACGGUUUUGCUGUCACUUAUAGAUGGAUCCGCGCCGCAUUAGCUAGUUGGUAAGGUAACGGCUUACCAAGGCAACGAUGCGUAGCCGACCUGAGAGGGUGAUCGGCCACACUGGAACUUAGAAACGGUCCAGACUCCUACGGGAGGCCGCAGUAGGGAAUCUUCCGCAAUGGGCGAAAGCCUGAAGGAGCAACGGCGCGGGAGUGAUGAAGGUCUUUGGAUCGUAAAACUCUGUUAUUGGGGAAGAACAAAUGUGUAAGUAACUAUGCCCGUCUUGACGGUAACUAAUCAGAAAGCCACGGCUAACUACGUG